CUAUGUCCAGACUGGCAAGUGCGAUUCGCAUCCCAAGGUUCAAUAUCUUAGUAUCACCACGUUUGAAAUUGUUCUUGAAGGAGGAAAACAUAUGAUCAAGACCAUAGAUUCAAUUGUUCAUUCUGUGGAUAUCAAGGGCUCUGAAUGGUUUGAUCUUGUUUUUUGCUUCACACCUGAGUGCAAGGAUUAUGAACCCAUUGGAAUAUGAAUCAACCAAAACAAGAAGAAAUAAAUGCCAUGAAGCUUGAAAUAGAAGCCAUGCAUGCAGCUUGAAGAAGCCAAUGAUCUGCGAAUUGGAUAUCAGGAAUUGUGAAAUAUGAAAAUUUAAAAGCCUUGGAUAGCCACCACCUAGAAUAAAAAAAAUUCCUAUUUCCUA